CCGCUGGCGACAAAGAAUAUCGCCCAUAAUAGACUAGCCGUUGAGAGAAUGAUAACGGCAAAGAAAAUACAAAUGGGAGCGUGAAAAAGCAUUUGAAUUUCAAUAUAAAUAUAAGCAAUUCAGUUUCAUUUCGUUACAGACAUUCGUUCUUUCUCUGAUUGCCCCUUUCUCUCGAUGUUCUGUUCUUUCUCUCUGUUUUCUUCAAAAAAAAUUAAGUGUUUGCUUUGUUUUCAUUUUUCAUUUUUCUGGUUUUCAGCGUGCACGCUGGUCUGUCUGUCUUUUUUUGGUAUUGCAUUUUUCUGGCAGUGCAGGGGAAAGGUAGAGCGCAGGGGAAAGGUAGAGCAGAGGAAGAGGCAGAGCAACCGAGGGGAAAUAUAGACAAUAAAAAAUUCAUUAUUGUUUGUUGCAAAUCCAAUCAAUUCAAGUUGGCAUGAUAAAAUUUGCAUUAGAUGCAGAACCCAGCAAGUGUUCAUAUAACUGAUGCAGAGAGGAAGAAAUGGGAAGUUCCUUAUGACCUGCUUUGCCUUAUGACCUGCUUUGUUUAUAGCAAGUCGCUGCUCUAGAAGGAAACCAUAUUUUCAAAACAGCUAACCCAAUGUUUGAAUUCUCUGUGUUCUCAGGCAAUGAAUUGAUCUUCUCCUACACAGCGAACCCAUUUGAAUUUGCUAUCGAGCGCAGAUUCCAUGGAGAGGUUAUGUUCAACUCUUCAUAUGGUAGCUUGGUUUUCAGUAUCCGGUGAGCAGAUACAAAAUCGUUGAGGACUUGGAUGUGCUAUCUGUACCAUGACUGUAAUCCUGUGGUUGUGCAUGGAGAUGUGCACCAAUGGACAGCCACAUGGAAGCUCCAAUGUCUGAUUUUUCUUAGCCAGACUCAUGCAGAGGGAAGCCACCAUGUGCUCUAGCGCGUACAUUGCAUCAGGUUCACAUAGACAUAUGCUCAUAUCCCUAAAACCUCCAAGAUACAAAUAUUUGAAAAGGUUUUGAUGCUAACUCUAAAAGUUCAUUUUUUCCUUUCAAAACCUAUUUUUAACCUGGGGACAAAAAAUAGGUAACAAUGUUUUUUUUGGUUUGUUUGUGGUAGUUGUAAAAUGUAUGAAUCGAUCGGCAUCCUAAAUUUUCAUUUUCUGGAUUGGAGAUUACUUCCAUUAUCAUUUUUAUUUGCAGUAUGAUAAGAAGGAUCCUGAGCAGCUUUUUAAAUUAGUUGUUUUUCAUCAUGGUGUAUUGAAAACAACAAGAGACGAAAUUAGGCUUGCAUUAUUUCUUUAGUUAUGUUUUGGUCAAGCAUUUUGACUUGAUAGCAUUGUAAAAUAUACAAAUAUAAUGUUUAAUAAAAAAAAGUAUUGGAUUGGACUAAA